ACAGCAGCCGCCGCGGUAAUACGAAGGGGGCUAGCGUUGUUCGGAAUUACUGGGCGUAAAGCGCACGUAGGCGGAUAUUUAAGUCAGGGGUGAAAUCCCGCAGCUCAACUGCGGAACUGCCUUUGAUACUGGGUAUCUUGAGUAUGGAAGAGGUUAGUGGAAUUGCGAGUGUAGAGGUGAAAUUCGUAGAUAUUCGCAGGAACACCAGUGGCGAAGGCGGCUAACUGGUCCAUAACUGACGCUGAGGUGCGAAAGCGUGGGGAGCAAACAGGAUUAGAUACCCCGGUAGUCCCUGUCUCUUAUAA
rnacentral:rRNA from 1 species